GAAUGCGAUCAUACCAGCACUAACGUACCGGAUCCCAUCAGAACUCCGAAGUUAAGCAUGCUUGGGCGAGAGUAGUACUAGGAUGGGUGACCCCCUGGGAAGUCCUCGUGUUGCAUCCC
rnacentral:rRNA from 1 species